GGGGCGGGGAAUAGAGUGCAUCUUUAAACUAUUAGUUGCAAAAAUGUGUCUACUUUGUCUUUCAAGCUAUAAAAAUGUAUCCAUAAUAUCUGCCUUAUUCUGCUUGCUGUUGCUUCAUUUAUAAGCUGUCCGUCUCUGAAGUGCACAAACUAAUCACACUUCAGAUUCCUGGCACCAAAUCUCCACUGCUGUAGCCUCAUUUGUUUUUUGUUUGUUUGUUUGUGUGUGUGUUUUCCCCCUCUAAUAUCAUUAAGUAGAAGCUGUCUCUCUACAUCAAAAAGAAAAUGGUUCUUUAAAUUUUUGUGUGUGUAAAUUUUUUUCACUAUUUGCAAUGUUUUGAUUGUUUUCAACAACAACAACAACAAAAAGAAUACAAUUUUAGUAAAAUAGUUCCAGUAUUUUGCUGUUAAAUGUUCACGUUUGGGAUAAAAAUAUUUUGGGGUUCUGUUGCUUGAAUGCUGGAUACUUUUACUAACAUACACAGGUGUUAAAGAUUUUUUUUUUAACGGGAGCAUUUUGUGGUUCAGUUUUGUAACCAAAAAUAAAAUUUUAUUUUUUUUUUAUGGAUAAUGUUCCAUGAAAAAUAAUUGGCCCUUGCCAACAGGCUCUGCUUUGAGCAGAGUAUUAGGCAUGUGUGUGUUUACAGGACUGGAGUUUAUCUCUAUCUUCAUUACUGUGAGUAGUGCCACUUGUUUCAAUAAAUAUGUUCAUAGCAGUAGGGUUAAGUAUAUGUAUAACUGUUUGCAGUAUCAGGGUCUGUAUAUAUGACUUGUUUUUCUGCCCCUGGAGAAUCAUCCCCCUGUUGACAUUACUAAGUUAUUGGUCUGGAUAGUUGACAUAGACAUACUAGGCCAUAUUGCUUUCUCCCAUGGUAAAUCCAAAGCUAGAACCCAUGAGAUCCUCCUUGCAGUGUUUUCCUAUGCUGUUCCAUGUUGGCAGGGAUAAUUUAAGUGCAUGUUGGAGAUCUCAACACCUCCCACCAUGGAUCCCAUAAGUGUCAAUUAAGGGAAACACUUAAAAAGGCCCUUAACAUUAAGAAAGUGCUUAAGUCCCGUUGACUUCAAAAUGACCUAAACAUAUGGUUGUAGUUAAACACAUGCUAAAAUGUUUCCCUGAAUCAGGGCCAAGAGCCUGAUCCAUAGGCCACAGAAGCUGGUGAAAAGGCUACCACCAGGGUUCAGAAAAGGGAAGGUUUAAGGGGCUGAGCCACCCCCACCCCCAUAAGAGACAAGAGCCUCCGGCCUGCCUUGUAUCUUUCUAAGCAGCUUAAGGGGCAACAGCUCCUUCUGACUUCUGGCUGCCACCACACCAGGACCACCCGACCACCCCCACCCCAAGAGUCGGAGCGUAAUUUGAACCCUGCUCUUAACAAAGGAAGAUAUGAACCUCUGCUGGGUGCUGAGCAUCUAUGCCAAGCCCUUCUGUUAUACUGACUUCUAUAGGGUUGAGACCUUAGGCACAGUUCCUUCAGACAUGUGUCUAAGGCUAAAAACAGAUGACUGUUUUCUUCCAAGACAAAGAAUUUUAUUCUGUAAUCUUACAGACACACCGGUUUAUUGUCCCAGUUCAAGUACCUAUGAAAUAUCCAAAUUUUGCCCUGGGAUAGUCUAAACUAAUUCAAAGUAAUUACCAUUCAAGCUGUGUAUGUAAAUGAUCGUCCUGGUCUGUUUUGAUACACGUCAGAACCUGGGACAAUCAGCCCCAGAUUAAACUGAUCAUCUGUUUUUAGCCUAAAUGUAGUUUCUUAAUCAGUCAGACCUGUUCAUGUUCUGAAAGGUAAGCCCAUAUGUAAGUAUUUAUAGACUCAAAGCCCAAACUUGCUCCUGGUUGUUGAAAUCCUUAAUUGUUUUUAAUCCCAUUUAAUAAACUUAAUCAGUUUUUUAGAACCUUGGAUUAUUGAUAGAGUCAUCAAUAAUCUUCACUGCACAAAUUACAAUAGCUAUUUCUUUGGGGAUGUUAAAUUUAGAAGUAAAUAUAGUUUUAAUUGGACCAUGUGUAUUUAUUCCCAUACAUAACAUGAGAGCGCCAAAUAUUGUUCUGCCUUCCAUGCAUUAUUUUGUAAGAGCUCCUAUAGUAUUAAAAGACUGUCUGCUUUGAUAUGUCUUUCAGCAGGGUUUGAAUGAAAUUGUCUUUUUCAGUAAAAUGAGUGUUUCUCCAAAUUUCAGACCAUAUGAGAUCUUGAACUGCACCUGACAACAAUGUGGCCUUCUUGUGAGUUUGCUUCCUUUUUUAAAAUUGUUUCCUACUUGAGUAAAAACAACAGAAAACAAAAUUGGCUCAUUAUUGUGAUAAAAGCUUGCUUUUACUUAUAACAUAUUUCUGUAAAACCUUUUUCUGCUAACAGUGCAGUAUGUGAAAUGACUGUAUUUUUAAAAAAAGUUUCUAACAUAGGACUAUAAAAUGCAGCCUCCACUCAUUUAUUAAAAAAAAAGAGGCAUCAGCCCACACAUAAUACCUUCUGAAGUGAAAGGAUUAGCCUCUAAUUAACAAAGCUAAUGUCACUCUCUAAUACUGAUUGUCACAGAGCACUGAGGUGCCCUGCUUCUAAAGAGGGGAAAACUAUUAGGGAAAGAGCCCUAGCAGUGAAUCAGGAGUCCAGCUGUUGGUUGCCAGGGCAACUGGAGCUAGCAACAGAUCACACCUGCCAGCGGUCAGCUGACAGAAAGGGGCAGGGCCUGGCUCCCUUAUAAACCCUAGGGGAUGAGGCCAGAGGUGGUUCCCUGCCAGCAGCUCAGGAGGAAGGAGCUCUCUGCCAUGGGAGAGAGGAGAAGCAUGAUGCAGGAGCAUAUCUGACACUGCUGCAAGAUAAAGAAUCUCUGAUGAUGUAUUACAUAAGCCUCUGGUCUGUUGGGUGAAGUUAACAAAGGCAGAUUGCUCGUGUCUCUGCAUUCCAUGCUGGGAUUUUUUUUUGACUGCAGGGUUUCAUUCGUUGUAACAGUGCGACUGGCAUCCACACGUGCGGGUGGGCGCAGAGCUCAGAGGAGCGGGUGGCAGCAGCAGGCGACUGCCCUGCGCA